UGUAAUAUCGUUUGAAAUUACUAAAUAUUUUCUCGCUCUGACAUUAAGCCAAUUUUCAAGCUCUUCCAGAAUUUUCAGACAUUUUUUGAUCGGAUAUCUAAUUUGGUAUUGUCAAUAUUUCAUCGACUGGUGUUACAACAGGAAAUAUUAGAAAUUUUAUUUAAAGAUUUUAAAUACAUGUUUAUUUAGGAGAAAAACCUUUCCUGCUUUUUAUCAUCUUUGCACUAAUUUAGAGGUUGUUUGUUUCAAUUAAAUCCAGUUUCACAAGUUUCGAAGCAUUUGACUCUGUUUAAGUAUAAAGUUUUGUUACCUUAUCGUUUUUGUUCAUCUACUACUUUUAUGUUUCUGGUGUGCUGCUCGUGAAAUUUGCUGCGAAAGAAUAAAAGAUGGUGAAAUCACAAAAUGUUGUGAAAAUUAUCAUUUAGUAAAUAACACAUGUAUACUACAUGUAGAAUCUAAAACGGAUAACCCACAGUCUUCACAGUCUUCAAGAAUAUUUCCUGAAAGAGUUAUCGAAAGCACAAAUGGAAUCAGUAAAGCUACUAGGAAUCUUCUUACACGUGUUACAUAUGGAUCUAUAAUGCUCACUGUGUUCUUAAAGAAAGUGACCUGAGAAAUUAACAAGGAUUCAUUAGGAUAUAUGGUCGAUACAAUGACCUUGUCAGCAAAUACAAUUUAUCAUUGAGUCAAAUGCUGACUGACGUUUUUCAUACCAAUUGUUAGUCCAUUAUUUAUACACUGAAUUGACAACGGAUUUUUUCCGUUAUUUUCUGAUUAUGACAAGGAGCACACGGCGGGUGUGACCAGUCGGCAGGGGAUGCUCACUCCUCCAUGGCACCUGAUCCCACUUCUGAUGUUUCGGAGGUCCGUGUUUGCUCUGCUCUUAUUUUGUAUAUUGUUUAAUGGACUUUGAGAUUGAAUAUUGUUCGUUUUCGCCAUAUCCUAUCCGUUCAGCUACGACUGAUCUGACCUAAAUUAU